rnacentral:misc_RNA from 1 species
GAUGAAGAACGUAGCGAAAUGUGAUAAGUAGUGUGAAUUGCAGAAUUCAGUGAAUCAUCGAAUCUUUGAACGCACAUUGCGCCUUCUAGUAUUCUGGGAGGCAUGCCUGUUUGAGCGUCAUUAAACCUCUCUCAAGUAUGAUUACUUGGAUGUGAAGGAAGAGUACCUUAAACUUAAGGAGUGUUCUCCUUUGAAAUUGAUUAGCAGAUGGUAAUGUUAUUAAAUCCCUGAUGUUGUAAGAAAUAACAGUGGUUUUGUAGACUAUUAUCUAGCUUUAAAUUAUAAUUUUUAUUAUGGUUGACCUCAAAUCAGGCAAGGAUACCCGCUGAACUUAAGCAUAUCAAUAAGCGGAGGA